UGGCUCAGAAUUGAACGCUAGCGGGAUGCCUUACACAUGCAAGUCGAACGGCAGCACGGACUUCGGUCUGGUGGCGAGUGGCGAACGGGUGAGUAAUGUAUCGGAACGUGCCCAGUAGCGGGGGAUAACUACGCGAAAGCGUAGCUAAUACCGCAUACGCCCUACGGGGGAAAGCAGGGGAUCGNAAGACCUUGCACUAUUGGAGCGGCCGAUAUCGGAUUAGCUAGUUGGUGGGGUAACGGCUCACCAAGGCGACGAUCCGUAGCUGGUUUGAGAGGACGACCAGCCACACUGGGACUGAGACACGGCCCAGACUCCUACGGGAGGCAGCAGUGGGGAAUUUUGGACAAUGGGGGAAACCCUGAUCCAGCCAUCCCGCGUGUGCGAUGAAGGCCUUCGGGUUGUAAAGCACUUUUGGCAGGAAAGAAACGUCAUGGGUUAAUACCCCGUGAAACUGACGGUACCUGCAGAAUAAGCACCGGCUAACUACGUGCCAGCAGCCGCGGUAAUACGUAGGGUGCAAGCGUUAAUCGGAAUUACUGGGCGUAAAGCGUGCGCAGGCGGUUCGGAAAGAAAGAUGUGAAAUCCCAGAGCUUAACUUUGGAACUGCAUUUUUAACUACCGGGCUAGAGUGUGUCAGAGGGAGGUGGAAUUCCGCGUGUAGCAGUGAAAUGCGUAGAUAUGCGGAGGAACACCGAUGGCGAAGGCAGCCUCCUGGGA
rnacentral:rRNA from 1 species